CUUAUCAAAUGGCCAAUUACCUGAGACAAAAUUGUCAGGGAGGUAUUAUGUUUUGAGACUGACAUCCAAGAUGAGAUGCAUGUGAUCAAACAUUCAGCACUGAAAAUAGUCUGUUACACAUUCUGUAAUAUACUUUAGAUGGAAGUGUUGAAAUGUUUCAACGCUAGACCCUGGUUUCUGCUUUCGAGGCAGGAAGAGGAACUUUGAGAAGAAUGUUCUCCACAUUCCCACUGUAUAUUCCCGGGGUAAAUGGGAUCAGUACCUCACAACCAAUUCCAAUAGCAUUGCUUGCCAAUUUAUUCCAUUGUUAAACAUCUUUCACAAAUGUACUUUCCUUCUAUUCAUUUCUUCCUCUUCCCAUUCCCAUUUUAAGUGUAUAUUAAGAUGAAGAAAUAUCCAGGUUCUUGUACUGUUAGAAAACAGGUUAUUCCACGUGUUCAUGUUUUUUAAAAUAUAUUUAUGUGCACAGCUUAAGUUAACAUCAGUUCUUUAAAAUUUCCAUUACCAAAUAAACACUACAAUAUAAACAGA